rnacentral:rRNA from 1 species
CUUACAAUUGCGAUGGGGGGACGGAGAAGGCUAGGUGGGCCUGGCGACGGUUGUCCAGGUUCAAGUGCGUAGGCUGAAGAGUUAGGUAAAUCCGGCUCUUUUUAAGGCUGAGACACGACGUCGAGCACCUACGGGUGUGAAGUCAUUGAUGCCAUGCUUCCAGGAAAAGCCUCUAAGCUUCAGAUUGUAAGGAAUCGUACCCCAAAC